rnacentral:rRNA from 1 species
ACUGACCUGCAGGAACACGAGGAACAUCUUCGCCUCACUCUGCAACUCCUCCGCGAGCAUCAACUAUUCGCCAAGGCCAACAAGUGUUCGUUCGCACAAACAAGCAUUGAAUACCUCGGGCAUGUGAUCUCACAAGAGGGAGUUGCUACGGACAAUAGCAAGACCAGCGCCAUGCAGUCCUGGCCCGUGCCCACCACGCCCACGGAGCUGCGCGGCUUCUUGGGGCUGACAGGCUACUACCGUAAAUUCGUCCCCCAUUACGGCAUCAUCGCCAAGCCCCUGACGCAACUGUUGACGAAGAAAGGGUUUCUCUGGGACGACAAAGCGCAGCAAGCAUUUGACAUGCUCAAGCGCGCCAUGGUGAGCACGCCAGUGUUGGCGCUGCCCAAUUUCAAUCGCCCGUUCGCCAUCAAAACGGAUGCGUGCGAUACCGGCGUGGGCGCGGUGCUUAUGCAAGAUGGCCAUCCAGUGGCCUACCUCAGCAAGGCUCUGGGAGUACGCAAUCAGAAGCUAUCCACAUAUGAGAAGGAAUUUCUCGCCGUCAUGAUGGCCAUCGACAAAUGGCGGCCGUACCUGCAUCGUGCUCCAUUUGAGAUCGUCACUGACCACAAGAGUCUUUGUGCACUUGACGAUCAACAACUGGUAACCGAUCUCCAGCGCAAAGCCAUGUCUAAGAUGGUGGGGCUGCAGUUCUCCUUCCGUUACAAGAAGGGCGUCGACAACAGUGCUGCCGUUGCGCUGUCCCGCGUCGGUCAUCUCCUGGAGCUCGACGCACUGUCCAUGUGCCAACCACAAUGGCUACAAGAAGUUGCCAAUUCCUACGAGACCGACCUCGACUCUCAAGAGCUGCUCACCAAGCUGGCUGUCAUCAACACUGACGAUCAAGGGUGCACCCUGCAGCAAGGCGUAAUCCGGCAACGCGGUCGACUCUGGAUCGGCGCCAACUCAGCUCUUAAGACCAAACUCAUCACUGCUCUCCACCAU